UGGAGUAAAUCUAACGGUAAAAAACUUACAAGCACCAAGUGCUUGGUGCUUUUACAAGCAUCAUAGCUGGACUAUAUAUAUAUAUAUAUAUAUAUAUGCUAGGACUAUUAUACUCUUAUAAGUAUAGAUCCUUUUAUACUUAUAAGUUUUCGACCGUUGAAUGAAGGGAUAUGCGAUUAGGAUGAUAGUGGUCCCUGGUUAUGAUGAUGGCGGUCCAAUAGGAUUGAGUGAGUGGUUAGUUGAAUAGUAAAAUCCAACGGGUGAAAAUGAUCAAAGGUAGAUCUAAUGGCCGAAAAUUUAUCAGUAUAAAAUGGUCUAUAGUAUAGUAGCCGGGCUCUUUCUCUCUCUCUCUCUCUCUAUAUAUAUACUAGUGAAUUACCCGCGCGAUGCUGCGGAUACCCGCGCGAUGCUGCGGAUAUAAAAUUAUUUUUAUAAUAAAUUAUAUAUUUUUUANAUAUUUGAGAAAUGCAUAAGAUAUUUUGGCGGGUAUUACUUUUGAAUAUUUUACUAAAAAAAAUUUAAAAAUAUAAAAUUAUAUUUAAUUAAUAAUUUAGUUUUGUUUAGGUGGGUAUUAAAUCUUUUAGUAAUAUUUUACGUGAUUGGCCCAAGUAUUACGUGUAAGAAGAAAAUAUUUGAAAAACACGGAAAUAGGAGAUAACGGAUAUUUUAAUUUAUGACGCGUUUGAGAAAACGUGUGUGAGAAACAAAAUAUUUAAGGAACCCUGUAGAUAUGAUAUAACGGAUAUUUUAAGUUAUGACGGGAAUUACGUUUGAGAAAAUGCGUAGAUAUUUGUAAAAUGCGUAGAUAAGAGAUAACGGAUAUUGAGGGUAUUUUUGUCAGAAAAAGUGACAGAUACUUUUAUUUUUAAUCGUUGUAUGAGAUCCAAUGGUAAAAAUUUAAGAUCUAUAUUUGAGAAUAAAUUAUUAUUUGAAAAAUUAUUUGAAAUGAAUGGUUGCAAAUUACUGGACAUAAAAAUAUUAGUAGAAAAGAUAGAGGUAUUUUUGGAAAGAGAAAAAAUUUAAAACUCACGCUUUUAUAAGUAGUAUAGAUAGGUUUGUGUGAUUUUAAAAACAAGGUAGUUCCCUAGUAUCAAAAUCAAAAUUAUUUUUGAUGCUUGGGCUUUUGAAUCGACGAUUGGCUUCAUUAGUGUUGAUUUAGAGUAUUAGAAGUAUUUAAAAAAUAAAUUUUAUAAUUUUUCAAUAUUAUUUAUCUGGUAAUCGAAAUGGCUCAAAAUCAAUAAAUUUAAUCAAAAUUAUAGAAUAUAUAUAUAUAUAGAGUUUUGCUAGAAUACUAUCGGUAGUAAACGGCUCGGUUUACUACCGAUUUGUUUUCGAUGAUAGAGCUCCUAAAUUGAUGAUCGGCACCGUUAAACAUGAUCUAAACUAUUUAAACUAUCUGGAAAUCAAAUUUCACACAUUUUCGAUAUUGUGCUCUUGUCCAUCAAGUGAACAGAAAAAUGAAUGGCUGGAAAUGAAUAUCCUUCAAAAAGUGAUGAUACAAUUUUUAUAUUUGAGAUCUAGAGUCUAGAUCUUAUUUUAAAUAG
rnacentral:lncRNA from 1 species